ACGUUGCGAUGCUGCUUGGUCUUCCUAUUACCGGAGACGUUGUCGGGCCCCGCGUGGUACCUUCUACGUGGCUGGAGGAUCUUGAGGAACGUUUUGCAGGUGUUGCCACCACGAUUGAUCCUGAAGAUUUCAAUGAGCACCCACAGUCGAAAGGCCCUUCCAAGUCAUGGCCCCUACAGUUUUAGCCGGAUCUGUUGGCAGCCCAUGCUGAUGACUACAGCGUGACUAGAUCACUCGAGGCAUACCUACUGUGGUUAUUUGGGUACAUCAUGUUCAACAACUCACACGGGCACUGUGUGGAUAGGGUGCUUCUGCCCUACGCACAGGAGAUCGCCGAUGCAGAUGAGGAUGCCAUACCCUUAUAUAGUUGGGGUUCAGCGGUUCUUGCAUGCACAUAUCGUGGACUCUGCAAGGCAUCACGGCAGAAUGAUAGGAAUGCUGUUCUAACGGGGUGCCCAAUUCUGCUACAGCUUUGGUCUUACGAGAGGAUUGCUAUCGGUCGUCCCAUGAUUGACCAGUCACCGUACACGCCGGAUAUGUACGAUGACAUGGAGGACGACAGACCCACCAUGGGGACUCUCUGGUACUCUCGACAGAAAAUAUGGGCACAUGUACAGACCCGGCGGUCUUAUCCUGAGUUAGUUGCCGAAUUUGAUCGAUAGACCCCAGAAGAUAUUGUGUGGGAGCCAUACAGUCCUUCGGCUAUAGCCGCACGUGCAUCGCUUGGGAUAUCUUUGGUGUGCACACAGGACCAGGGGCUAUGGAUGACUACUGCAGCUUUGGUGUACGACGUUGCAGUUGAGGCCCACUGCCCGGAUAGAGUCAUGAGGCAG